rnacentral:rRNA from 1 species
CCCUUAGAUGUUCUGGGCAGCACGCGCGCUACAAUGGUCUUCGCAAACGGAUGCAUUCUCGAAGGAGAAUGCCAAUCUUGGAAUCUAUGCCUUGGUCGGGACAGUUGCUUGCAAUUUUUCGACUCGAACCAGGAAUUCCUUGUAAUCGUGAUUCAUCACAUCACGAUGAAUACGUCCCUGCCCUUUGUACACACCGCCCGUCGCUCCUACCGAUUGAAUGAUCCGGUGAACCCCUCGGAUUGGUCAGACCAGUUGGCGGGGCAACUCGUCAGCUUCUGGCCGAGAAGUUGGGUAAACCUUAUCAUUUAGAGGAAGGAGAAGUCGUAACA